AUGCACUGGUUUGCAUGGUGGAAAUUAUGUGUCCCAAAGAAGAAGGGUGGCAUGGGGUUUAGGGACCUUCACAGCUUUAAUCUUGCUAUGUUAGCAAAGCAGUGUUGGCGACUUCUCCAAAAUCCUGAUUCUUUAUGUGCACGUGUUCUGAGUGCCAAGUAUUAUCCAAAUGGUGAUAUUCUGAAGGCAGGGCCUAAAAAGGGUUCAUCAUUCACUUGGCAAAGCAUUGUUGCAGGUAUACAGACUUUCAAGAGAGGGUGUAUUUGGCGGAUAGGGUCUGGCUCACAUAUUAACAUAUGGGAUGAUCUAUGGAUUCCUUCUAGUGAGUCAAGAAGGAUCAUCACACCUAAGGGAGGAACCAUUCUGUCUAAGGUUGAAGAACUUAUACAUCCACAUACGGGUCAGCGGGAUGUGGAGCUCCUUCGGGACAAUUUUUUUACCCGUGGAUGUUGCAAGAAUCUUACAAAUUCCUUUGCAUGUUGA
rnacentral:rRNA from 1 species